GAUCAUUUGCGCUGGGGAAAGCUAUUCCAGCUGUCCCGUGCAGAGACGUGCUUGGCAAGGAGCAGAAGUUGCAGGCCAACAACUGCAUGUGGGGGCAAAUCCACCAGCUUCAGUCAAGCCUCGGAUGACUGAGCUCCCAGCUGACAACUUGAUUACAGACUUGUGAGAGACCCUUAGCCAGACCCACUCCAGGAGUAUGUGUUACCUGGAUAUCACCUGGCCACUUGUGACCCUAACAGAAGCAAUGAAUAAAUCUGGAAGCAAAAACAAACAGAGAAGCCAGAGAAGAAGAUCCAGGUCUCAGGAGCCCUCGGGGAAGGUUUGGUGGCUGCAGAAAGGACUUUCUCUGAGAAUCCAGAAGUGACAUCAGGGAAGAACCUCAAAGGAUCCAUGGUCCCCCAACACAGAGCAAGUGACUGCAGCUCCUAGAAUCUCUUCCUUCAGGGAGGCCCAGAGAAAUUAAGUGUUAAGAGGCCUUACCCUCAGACAACAUCUUCUCUCAGCCUCUGUGGCUACAGUAUGUACAGUGUGCUGAGUGUGGAAGGACCUCUCUCCCCAUUAAAUCUGUAGUGCGAUCACAUGGAAGGCAUCUGAGGACCUAGAGCAAGGAAACAUGGCUAUCCUGCCCCACUGUGGUCCCGAUCUGGGUACUGAAUCAGCAUCUUCCAAGGAUUUUUAAAAUAGAAACCCCCAGUUCUCAGCCUACACCAAUGAAUCAGAAUCUCUCAGGAUGGGGCUCAGGGAAGCUGUGUUUUUAAAAACUCCAAGUACCUUACUUACCUUCUCACCAUCAUGAAAAUAGAAAUGAACAAAAUUAACAAGGCAACAAUUUCCAGGCACUGGACCAGAGGCACAGUGCAGAACUGUGAUCUCUGAGAGGAGGGCAACACUCAAGGGAGGGAGACCUGUGUUUGCCCAGGUUCUGCCCAGGUGAAGCACAGGGAGGGGAAACCCAGGCAGACCACAGUGGUCUGAUGGAGCUGAGCAGAAUUCGGAGCUUGGGCUGCUGAAGUGGCUGGCAUAUGUGGGGGCAGAAAACAGGAAAGGAAAGCUGCAGAGGGAGAGAACAAAGACCCCAGAAAUGUGUAUGCGCAUGUCCUGUGGGCUGUUGGUUGAAGCCCGGGCUUUGAAGAACAGAGCAAGACUUGGUGGAGCCUAGCAGAGAGCAGCUGCUAAGGGCCUGGGAACAGAAUGGAAACAUAGGGAGACUCUCUGCAGGGCUGGGAGUUCCAGCUCAGCUAGAAUGGAGAAACUCUGGUGUGCAUCUCAGUGGAGACUGCAUAAAGGCCAUGUAUUAGGAAUAAAGACUACGCUUCUAGGAGAAGGACUACACCCUAGCACAGAGUUUCUUGGUAUCAGCAAUACUAGCAUUUUAAACAGGUCAUUUUUAUUUUCC
rnacentral:lncRNA from 1 species